rnacentral:rRNA from 1 species
GAUGAACGCUAGCGGGAGGCCUAAUACAUGCAAGUCGAACGGUAACAGGUCUAGCAAUAGAUGCUGACGAGUGGCGCACGGGUGCGUAACACGUACACAACCUGCCUUAUACUGGAGCAUAGCCUCGGGAAACUGAGAUUAACACUCCAUAACGUUUCGAAGCGGCAUCGCUUUGAAACUAAAACUCCGGUGGUAUAAGAUGGGUGUGCGUCCGAUUAGAUAGUUGGUGAGGUAACGGCUCACCAAGUCAACGAUCGGUAGCUGGUCUGAGAGGACGAUCAGCCACACGGGCACUGAGACACGGGCCCGACUCCUACGGGAGGCAGCAGUAGGGAAUAUUGGACAAUGGGCGCAAGCCUGAUCCAGCUAUCCCGCGUGAAGGAUUAAGGUCCUAUGGAUUGUAAACUUCUUUUCUCUGGGAAUAAAAACUGGCGCUUACGCUGGCUUGAAGGUACCAGAGGAAUAAGCACCGGCUAACUCCGUGCCAGCCGCCGCCGUAAAAC